UUCAGGGAACCUCGCACCAGC
rnacentral:misc_RNA from 1 species